AGCCUACGGGACGCAGCAGUGGGGAAUAUUGCGCAAUGGGCGAAAGCCUGACGCAGCGACGCCGCGUGAGGGAUGAAGGUCUUCGGAUCGUAAACCUCUGUCAGCAGGGAAGAACGGUCACCGUGCUAAUCAGCAGUGAAUUGACGGUACCUGCAAAGGAAGCACCGGCUAACUCCGUGCCAGCAGCCGCGGUAAUACGGAGGGUGCGAGCGUUAAUCGGAAUUACUGGGCGUAAAGCGCUCGGAGGCGGUAUGUCAAGUCAAGGGGGAAAUCCCCGCGGUCAACGUGGGAACUGACUUUGAAAA
rnacentral:rRNA from 1 species